rnacentral:lncRNA from 1 species
AAACACUUAUUUUUAGCAUGACAAACAUUAUUAAGAUGAUGAGACUAUCAAAGGUGAAAUAUUUUAUAUAUAUAGAAACAGAGCUAUUUAUUCACUUAUUAAACACACAUGCCGGCUAUAAUUUCUUGUUGCCAUCUUUAGGAGGACAGUCCGUUUAUUCAUGGGACACAUACCUAGCUAGCAUUCCAAACAUGGCCCAAGCCUACGAUCUACUACAUCUUGUUCACACAUUGCCAAGAUAAAAAUAAGCUGACCCUUGUUGGCCAUCAGGCACAUAGUUUCCUACCCCGCCCAUUACAGCUGCAGUAGAACCCAUCAUCUGCUGCUCACGCCACAUUGGCUGCUGGCCCACUUGUUGAUUAUAUAUGGAAGGCGAGCACUGAGCUAGGUUGUUCAUGACUGCGAACGAGCUCGUCGGAGCCUGCAACCUAUAGCUUGGGUCAUUGUUGAGGCUGGUGAAAGAAAGGGUUUGCCGAGGGGCAGAACUAUUAUUUGCUGCCAAUAGCUCAUUGUCAUGGAGCCUGACAUCAUUGAUGCUGUAACGCUUUGUCCCUGACGAUGCCUUUUUCUCUAUUCUCUUGAAAAACUUUUGUGCAUGGCUUGAAAUUUGGACAGGGGUCUUAGUGGUGACGAAGUGCUUGGAUAUGUUUUUCCAGUCGCCACGGCCAUAGACUUCCAGCCCAUAAAGAAAUGACCUGUGGACAUAAUGUUCAAAAGAAUUGUUAGGUUAAAUUGUUUACUCAAAGAUGAAUUGUGCGACCGUUUUACUGAAGCAACUAAUAUAGAUUGAAGCAAACUACCAAUUUGACAGGUUCGAACCACUACAACAACACGUGCUUACUUUUGUUUAUUUACAGGUAUUGGAUAGAAUAUAUGUAUAUCAGAAAUCCAUAAGUGAACGAACAUUUUGUAGACAACCAAAACAUAUUGCAAAUUCAAAAUUAUCAUACCUCUACUUUUCUAUAGUGAAACGACAAUCAUUACAGGUUAUUGAUCUGUUUGAUUGCGACAAGACGUACCAUAUUGGAAUUUAAUGGCCUAUUUAACUGCCUUUCUAUUUUUUAAUCCAGGUCCAAUCACAUAAAAAAUUUAAGCCAAAAAGAAAAGUAAGAAAGAAAGUUCAUCAAUAUCUAAUUUGCAGGGAUUAGUAUUUAUCAAAAAUGUAAACUGUAAACGUCCAGAUAUACAUUUGUUAAAGUGCAAUAUCAAUUUAACAUACCUGCCUCAUAGAAUUAAUUCGCAGAGCUUAAUUAUCAUAUGUUGAUUUUAAAUAAAGAACAACUAAAACUACAUGACAAGGAAGAAUAUAGGUAUCGACUAACUUGUGUUCCUCUUUGGUCCAAAACUUUCGUUGAUGUGCGGCAACAGCUGGUCGAUCAACAGAAGUAUUGUUCUCCAAGACCACCAUCUUGUUCUUGUCUACCAUCAUCGGAGCCUCCUCCGUCUUCCUGAUUCUUGUAUCCUCCAAUGCGCAAUGAAAUGAAAAUCUAUUAUCAUCCAUGGCUGUACCCUCAUCAUCUUGUACCUCAAAGUUUUCAUUAACAAGGCCGCCCAUGCUGUAAAUGGAAAUUGACAGUGUCCAGUGUACAUUUAGUAAAGUAAAAUAUCAUCACAAACAUAAGCUACUGAUCUCACAUAAUAAAUAUGCACAACAUUCUUAAUUGGUAUAUGUUCACUGAAAACAAACAACAAUUAAAACUACAUGACAAAGGAGAGUAUACAACCAUGGACGAACCUGUGUUCCUCGUCGGUCCAAAAACCCCAUUGAUGUGGGGCAACAACUGGUUGGUCUAUGGAAAUAUUGUUCUCCAACACCUUCAUCUUGUUAUUGUCUGCCAUCAGCGGUGCCUCACCCGUCACCGUGAUCCCCGUAUUCUCCAUUGCACAACCAAAGGACAAUCCAUUAUUGUCCACGAUUGUUGCCUCCUCUCGUACACCGAAGUUUUCAUUCGCAUGGUCGCCCAUGGUGUAGAUACCGUGUGUGCUGCUAGCACCAUUCUCCUCCAUCGGUAGGAGCUCAUAGUUACCGUUGACAGGGUAACAAAAGGUGAAAAUGUUUUGCGGGCUACCACUAGUAACAUGGGUCCCCUCCCUCCGUUGGCUCAUAUGCAUUUCCACGGCGAGAUGAAUAUAAAGAUGUGUUACCUGUUUCAUGGUCUUUGAAGGGAACAAUGCAUGGAGAGAAUUCAUGAUGUAGUUGUGCUUCUUGUUCUUGUCAUCGUUAUCGUCGUACAUGAUUUUGUUGGUGUUGAGCCUAGCAAUGAGUGAUCAUGCCUCCUCUACCUCGGAUGAGGUCCACCCCUAGUUGACUAUUGGAUCCAUGAGAAAGUGGGUAGUUGAACGCUAUAGAAUUAUGAGGAGUAUGAACUAUGAAGAUGGGUUAUAGCUUGGGGAUGGAGACUGGGGAGUAAGAUAGUGUAUUUAUAGCCUCUUGUGUGCAGUCCUACUUUCGCUAAUUAAUUUGGCUCAUUUAUAGUUUUUCAGUCCAUACUAAAGUAGAUUGAACAAUAGUUAAGAUAAUUAAUUCUUAUGAUCCUCUGAGGAACAUGCCAAACUAUUUUAAGUUGACCUCGACAUUGUGUCUUUCUUUGAAAAAAUAUUUUCUUAUUUUGCCAAUGCAAAUAAUUGCCACGGGCCUCCAAAUAUACGCAAGAAGAUUGCUAGAAACAACACAAGCAGGCCUAUAGAGUAUUGAUCAAUUUCGGUGUAGAUAGAUAGGACACACAUCGUGUGCACAUGCGUGACAUGUGUUCUCAUCUUAGAGUGCAAGACCCAAACCAUGGUCUGCCGCACUCAAAUAUGCAAUGCACACAUGAUCUAAUUCGGUUUUGGCUACUAGUGACACAUACAUCAAUGGUGUUUUGCGUACACAUUGCAAAUAAUUGAGAUGACAAACACUUAUUUUUAGCAUGACAAACACUAUUAAGAUGAUGAGACUAUCACAGGUGAAAUAUUAUAUAUAUAUAUAUAGAAACAGAGCUAUUUAUUCACUUAUUAAACACACAUCCCGGCUAUAAUGUCUUGUUGCCAUCUUUAGGAGGACAGUCCGUUUAUUCAUGGGACACAUGCCUAGCUAGCAUUCCAAACAUGGCCCAAGCCUACGAUCUACUACAUCUUGUUCAUACAUUGCCAAGAUAAAAAUAAGCUGACCCUUGUUGGCCAUCAGGCACAUAGUUUCCUACCCCG